rnacentral:rRNA from 1 species
AAUUACCCACUCCCGGCACGGGGAGGUAGUGACGAAAAAUAACGAUACGGGACUCAUCCGAGGCCCCGUAAUCGGAAUGAGUACACUCUAAACUCUUCCCCAAAAAUCAAUUGGAGGGUAAGUCUGGUGCCAGCAGCCGCGGUAAUUCCAGCUCCAAUAGCGUAUAUUAAAGUUGUUGCGGUUAAAAAGCUCGUAGUCGAACCUGUGUCCUGCGCCGCUGGUUCAUCGCUCGCGGUGUUCAACUGGCGUGUCUCGCGGGACGUCCUGCCGGUGGGAUUGUGCGUUGCUUUCGUGGCGCGCGUCCCAACUCGUAGCCGUCUCGCGCGGUUGCGAAUCCCAUCGCGGUGCUCUUUGUUGAGUGUCGAGGUGGGCCGGCACGUUUACUUUGAACAAAUUAGAGUGCUUAAAGCAGGCCAAUUUUGCCUGAAUAUUGUGUGCAUGGAAUAAUGGAAUAGGACCUCGGUUCUAUUUUGUUGGUUUUCGGAACCCCGAGGUAAUGAUUAAUAGGAACGGAUGGGGGCAUUCGUAUUGCGACGUUAGAGGUGAAAUUCUUGGAUCGUCGCAAGACGGACAGAAGCGAAAGCAUUUGCCAAAAACGUUUUCAUUGAUCAAGAACGAAAGUUAGAGGUUCGAAGGCGAUCAGAUACCGCCCUAGUUCUAACCAUAAACGAUGCCAGCUAGCGAUCCGCCGACGUUCCUCCGAUGACUCGGCGGGCAGCUUCCGGGAAACCAAAGCUUUUGGGUUCCGGGGGAAGUAUGGUUGCAAAGCUGAAACUUAAAGGAAUUGACGGAAGGGCACCACCAGGAGUGGAGCCUGCGGCUUAAUUUGACUCAACACGGGACACCUCACCAGGCCCGGACACCGGAAGGAUUGACAGAUUGAGAGCUCUUUCUUGAUUCGGUGGGUGGUGGUGCAUGGCCGUUCUUAGUUGGUGG